CCUGCCCCGCCACCUCUGCUCCUGCCCAGACCUUCUGGAACCAUCUCCCCGCUCCGUGUCCUCUAACACUUUCAGGCAUCGACCUCCGCCAGGCGCUCUGACGAGACUGCCCCUGGGGGCGCUCUGAGCGGGGCGAAACCUUCUGGAAGCCGCGCAAAGCCUGAUGGGAGACGCCCCUCAGUGCUUCUGGGUGGAGUGUGGGCGCCGAGCCUGAGCGACCUGUCCUCACACACCCGCGGCGGUUGCACUACCUAUAGCCUGUGGAACCCCCUGGAGGUCGUGUCCGGGAAGGUGCCAGAAGGUUCAAGCCCCCACAGAGAUGAUGCUCCUCUUUGCCUUCCUCCUCUUCAUGGGAUGGCCACUGGGCUUCGUUGAGCCCUGCCAACAGAUUUAUUGAAGGACAAGAGCAGAUGCCUUCAACCCCCAGGGUCCUGGCAGCACUGGCUUCAGGCUCUGAGUAUUAAGGUGUCCUAUACCUGAGAGCUGCCUCCAGUUUUCACACGUGAAAACCAGCUCACCAACAGCACAAGAGGGCUCCCUUUUCUCCACACCCUCUCCAGCAUUUAUCGUUUGUGGAUUUUUUGAUGAUGAUCAUUCUGGCCAGUGUGAGGUGAUAUCAUUGUAGUUUUGAUUUGUAUUUCUCUUAAUAAUGGGCGAUGUUGAGCAUCUUUUCAUGUGUGUAUUAGCUACCUGUAUGUCUUUAGAGAAAUGUCUGUUUCAGUCUUUUUCUCACUUUUUGAUUGGGUUGUUUUUCUGGUAUUCAGUUUUAUGAGCUGCUUGUAUAUUUUGUACUG
rnacentral:lncRNA from 1 species